UACGUAGGGUGCAAGCGUUGUCCGGAAUUAUUGGGCGUAAAGAGCUCGUAGGCGGUCUGUCACGUCGGGCGUGAAAAUCCAGGGCUUAACCCUGGACCUGCGUUCGAUACGGGCAGACUAGAGUUCGGUAGGGGAGACUGGAAUUCCAGGUGUAGCGGUGAAAUGCGUAGAUAUCUGGAGGAAUACCGGUGGCGAAGGCGGCAUCCUGGACCGGCAUUGACGCUGAGUGAGCGAAAGCCAGGGGAGCAAACGGG
rnacentral:rRNA from 1 species